rnacentral:rRNA from 2 species
CCUACGGGAGGCAGCAGUAGGGAAUAUUGGACAAUGGGCGCAAGCCUGAUCCAGCCAUGCCGCGUGAGUGAAGAAGGCCCUCGGGUUGUAAAGCUCUUUUGUUGGGGAAGAAAAGCAGUUGGUUAAUACCCGAUUGUUCUGACGGUACCCAAAGAAUAAGCACCGGCUAACUUCGUGCCAGCAGCCGCGGUAA